rnacentral:rRNA from 1 species
GGAGGUAGCAAGCGUUACUCGGAAUUAUUGGGUGUAAAGGGCAAGUAGGCGGCUUUAUAAGUGAGGGGUGAGAUCUUCCGACUUAAUCGGAAAACUGCCUUUCAAACGAUAAAGCUUGAGGCUGGAAGAGGGAAACGGAAUUAGCAGUGUAAGGGUGAAAUCUGUAGAUAUUGCUAAGAAUACCGGCGGCGAAGGCGGUUUCCUGGUCCAGCUCUGACGCUCAAUUGCGAAAGCUAGGGGAGCAAACAGAAUUAGAUACUCUGGUAGUCCUAGCCGUAAACGAUGAGUACUAGGUGUUGGAACUUCGGUUUCAGUGCCGCAGCUAACGCAUUAAGUACUCCACCUGGGGACUACGGCCGCAAGGCUA